rnacentral:lncRNA from 1 species
UUAAUAUAUAUAUCAAGGUAUUUCUAUUUUAUCAUUUUUCUAUGAGAGAAGUCUCAUUUGUGCAUUUGUCUUUAUCAUGUUCUUGUCCUUGACAAUAAUACUUUAUAAGUAUUCAUUUGACACUUAUUAGGCUAUUUAAGCAUCAAAUAUGAUUUUAGUGAAUAGUGGCAUAUGUGAAGCCAUUGAAAUUGAUUUUAUUAUGGUAGAGAUGGUUGUGAAUGGAUAAAUCAGUAGGAUCAUAUUUAAAAAUAUCUUCCAUGUACCUAAGAUGAAACAAAAUGUACUUUUG